rnacentral:rRNA from 1 species
AGAGUUUGAUCCUGGCUCAGGACGAACGCUGGCGGCGUGCCUAAUACAUGCAAGUCGAGCGCAGGAAGCUCACGGAACUCUUCGGAGGGAAGUGAAGGGAAUGAGCGGCGGACGGGUGAGUAACACGUAAGGAACCUGCCCCAAGGAUUGGGAUAACUCCGAGAAAUCGGAGCUAAUACCGAAUAGUUCUUCAGACCGCAUGGUCUGAUGAUGAAAGGCGCUCCGGCGUCACCUUGGGAUGGCCUUGCGGUGCAUUAGCUAGUUGGUGGGGUAAUGGCCCACCAAGGCGACGAUGCAUAGCCGACCUGAGAGGGUGAUCGGCCACACUGGGACUGAGACACGGCCCAGACUCCUACGGGAGGCAGCAGUAGGGAAUCUUCCACAAUGGACGAAAGUCUGAUGGAGCAACGCCGCGUGAGUGAUGAAGGUUUUCGGAUCGUAAAACUCUGUUGUAAGGGAAGAACAAGUACGAGAGGUAAUGCUCGUACCUUGACGGUACCUUGCGAGAAAGCCACGGCUAACUACGUGCCAGCAGCCGCGGUAAU